rnacentral:rRNA from 1 species
GAUGAACGCUGGCGGCGUGCCUAAUACAUGCAAGUCGAGCGAACAGACGAGGAGCUUGCUCCUCUGACGUUAGCGGCGGACGGGUGAGUAACACGUGGAUAACCUACCUAUAAGACUGGGAUAACCUCGGGAAACCGGAGCUUAUACCGGAUAAUAUAUUGAACCACAUGGUUCAAUAGUGAAAGACGGUUUUGCUGUCACGUAUAGAUGGAUCCGCGCCGCAUUAGCUAGUUGGUAGGGUAACGGCCUACCAAGGCAACAAUGCCUAGCCGACCUGAGAGGGGGAUGCGCCACACAGGACUGAGACAGGGUCAAGACGCCUACGAGAGGCAGCAGUAGGGAAUGUGACGCAAUGGGCGAAAGCAUGACAGAACGACGCCGCGUGAGUGAUAAAGGUCUUCGGAUCGUAAAGCUCUGUUAUUAGGGGAGAACCAAUGUGUAAGUAACUAAGCACGUAUUGACGGUAACUAAUCAGAAAGCCACGGCUAACUACGUG